ACUUUAUGUAUUUUUCUUAUAGUUUGCGACUUUGACAAGCCUUCAACCUCAAAGAAAUUUGCAGUUAGGGAGUCUAAUGAUCAGGAUCGAGAAGAUGGACAGGAAGUAGUUGUCGCAGACGUGGCAUACGUCACCGAUAAUGAUCAGUUAGAACCCAAGGUGAAGCCAGGCAGUGAUCCGAAACAACAAAAAACAUCUAAAGUUUGCGACUUUGACAAGCCUUCAACCUCAAAGAAUUUUGCAGUAAGGGAGUCUGAUGAUCAGGAUCGAGAAGAUGGACAGGAAGUAGUUGUCGUAGACGUGGCAUACGUCACCGAAAAUGAUCAGUUAGAACCCAAGGUGAAGCCAGGCAGUGAUUCGAAACAACAAAAAACAUUUAAAGUUUGCGACUUUGACAAGCCUUCAACCUCAAAGAAUUUUGCAGUAAGGGA